AUUACCCUCCCUAGACCCCACCUGGUGGGAGUAUACUGGGUAGUUGUUGUUGUUGUUGUUGAAGUGUAACACUUGUUUCGUUUGGCCUUUAAAUUAAACGUCUUAGAAUGAUAAAAGAUAUUUACUACUUCAUGAAAAGAGAUGGAUCUUAAAAGUUGUUUUAGUAAUGUUCUUCUCUUUCUGCUUUUCUUCUUUUUUUU
rnacentral:lncRNA from 1 species